UACGUAGGGCGCAAGCGUUGUUCGGAAUUAUUGGGCGUAAAGAGCUCGUAGGCGGCCUGUUGCGUCCGCUGUGAAAUCCCGGGGCUCAACCCCGGGCCUGCAGUGGAUACGGGCUGGCUAGAGGCAGGCAGGGGAGAACGGAAUUCCUGGUGGUAGCGGUGAAAUGCGCAGAUAUCAGGAGGAACACCGGUGGCGAAGGCGGUUCUCUGG
rnacentral:rRNA from 1 species